UGCAAGUCCGAACGGGCAGCACAGAAAAGAGCUUGCUCUCUUGGUCGGCGAGUAGGCGGGACGGGUGACUAAUAUAUCUGAACGUGCCCGGUAGCGGGGGAUAACUACUCAAAACAGUGGCUACUACCGCAUACGCCCUACGGGGGAGAGGGGGGGAUUCUUCGCAACCUCUCACUAUUGUAGCGGCCGAUAUCUGAUUAGCUAGGUGGUGGGGUAAAGGCUCUCCAAUGCAACGAUGCUUAGCUGGGUUGAUAGGACGACCUGCCACUCUGAGACUGACACAACGCCCAGACUCCUACGGGAGGCAGCAUUGGGGAAUUUUGGACAAUGGGGGAAACCCUGAUCCCGCCAUCCCGCGUGUAUGAUGAAGGCCUUCGGGUUGUUUAGUACUUUUGGCAGAGAAGAAAAGGUAUCUCCUAAUACUAGAUACUGCUGACGGUAUCUGCCGAAUAAUCACCGGCUAACUACGUGCCAGCAACCGCGGUAGUACCUAGGGUGCAUGCGUUAAUCGGAAUUACUGGGCCUCAAGCGUGUGUAGGCGGUUCGGAUGUAAAGAUGCGAAAUCCCAGGGCUCAACCUUGUAACUGCAUUUUUAACUGCCGAGCUAGAGUAUGUCAGAGGGGGGUACAAUUCCACGUGUAGCAGUGAAAUGCGUAGAUAUGUGGAGGAAUACCGAUGGCACAAGGCUGCCCCCCUGGGAUAAUACUGACGCUCACACGCGAAAGCCCUGGGGAGCAAACACGAUUAGAUACCCUGGUACUCCACACGCUAAACGAUGUCCGCUAGCUGUUGGGGCCGUUAAGCCUUACUACCGCAGCUAACGCGUGACGGUUGGGCGGCCUGGCGGACUACGGGGCUCAAGAUUAAAAUUCAUAGGGAAUUGGCCCGGGACCCGCCGCAAGUUGGCCCGGGACCCGCCGCAAG
rnacentral:rRNA from 1 species